UACGGAGGAUCCAAGCGUUAUCCGGAAUCAUUGGGUUUAAAGGGUCUGUAGGCGGUUUAGUAAGUCAGUGGUGAAAGCCCAUCGCUCAACGGUGGAACGGCCAUUGAUACUGCUAGACUUGAAUUAUUAGGAAGUAACUAGAAUAUGUAGUGUAGCGGUGAAAUGCUUAGAGAUUACAUGGAAUACCAAUUGCGAAGGCAGGUUACUACUAAUGGAUUGACGCUGAUGGACGAAAGCGUGGGUAGCGAACAGG
rnacentral:rRNA from 1 species